rnacentral:misc_RNA from 1 species
GAUGAAGAACGCAGCGAAAUGCGAUAAGUAAUGUGAAUUGCAGAAUUCAGUGAAUCAUCGAAUCUUUGAACGCACAUUGCGCCCCCUGGUAUUCCGGGGGGCAUGCCUGUCCGAGCGUCAUUUCUGCCCUCAAGCACGGCUUGUGUGUUGGGCCCCGUCCUCCGAUUCCGGGGGACGGGCCCGAAAGGCAGCGGCGGCACCGAGUCCGGUCCUCGAGCGUAUGGGGCUUUGUCACCCGCUCUGUAGGCCCGGCCGGCGCUUGCCGAUCAACCCAAAUUUUUAUCCAGGUUGACCUCGGAUCAGGUAGGGAUACCCGCUGAACUUAAGCAUAUCAAUAAGCGGAGGA